UCUAGAGGCCAAAUAAGAUGGGUACUUGCAUUUGUUGCAAAUGAGUAAGCGUACUCUCUCAUUAUUAUUAAUGCUAGCCAACAUGAUAUAAUUCUGAGGUGGGCUUGGUAAUAGUGAGCCUCCCAUAACCUACUAGGAGUUUCAUCCAAAACUCUCGAAUUCCUAUGAGGGAUAUGGAAUUUGCCAAAAAUAGUGGGUGGUGCUAUUUGAUUUAAAGACCCAAAUCAAAUGGCUUAAAAUCAAUCAAUCUAUAUUCGUUAUGUAUUUGAUUACCAAUAUAUUUGCAAACGCUAUCCAACACUUGACAAAA
rnacentral:lncRNA from 1 species